CGAGCGGCGGACGGGUGAGUAACGCGUGGGUAACCGUGCCUCAUACAGGGGGAUAACAGUUGGAAACGGCUGCUAAUACCGCAUAAGCGCACAGUACCGCAUGGUACCGUGUGAAAAACUCCGGUGGUAUGAGAUGGACCCGCGUCUGAUUAGGUAGUUGGUGGGGUAACGGCCUACCAAGCCGACGAUCAGUAGCCGACCUGAGAGGGUGACCGGCCACAUUGGGACUGAGACAUGGCCCAA
rnacentral:rRNA from 1 species